rnacentral:rRNA from 1 species
CGUGCCUAAUACAUGCAAGUCGAGCGAAUGGAUUAAGAGCUUGCUCUUAUGAAGUUAGCGGCGGACGGGUGAGUAACACGUGGGUAACCUGCCCAUAAGACUGGGAUAACUCCGGGAAACCGGGGCUAAUACCGGAUAACAUUUUGAACCGCAUGGUUCGAAAUUGAAAGGCGGCUUCGGCUGUCACUUAUGGAUGGACCCGCGUCGCAUUAGCUAGUUGGUGAGGUAACGGCUCACCAAGGCAACGAUGCGUAGCCGACCUGAGAGGGUGAUCGGCCACACUGGGACUGAGACACGGCCCAGACUCCUACGGGAGGCAGCAGUAGGGAAUCUUCCGCAAUGGACGAAAGUCUGACGGAGCAACGCCGCGUGAGUGAUGAAGGCUUUCGGGUCGUAAAACUCUGUUGUUAGGGAAGAACAAGUGCUAGUUGAAUAAGCUGGCACCUUGACGGUACCUAACCAGAAAGCCACGGCUAACUACGUGCCAGCAGCCGCGGUAAUA